rnacentral:hammerhead_ribozyme from 1 species
AUACAGCUGACGAGACGAAAACAGGACGAAAUGCGCGUCCUGGAU